rnacentral:misc_RNA from 1 species
GGAGGUAAAAGUCGUAACAAGGUUUCCGUAGGUGAACCUGCGGAAGGAUCAUUCAUAAUAAAGUGUUUUAUGGCACUUUUUAAAAAUCCAUAUCCACCUUGUGUGCAAUGUUAGAUCUCGUCAAUCUUGGCGAGAUUUUUAUACAUCAACUCAUUCUUUAACUAAUUUGUCUGAAAAAUAUUAUGAAUACUUAUUUCAAAAUACAACUUUCAACAACGGAUCUCUUGGCUCUC